rnacentral:rRNA from 1 species
GGGUUGUGAGGUUAAGCGACUAAGCGUACACGGUGGAUGCCCUGGCAGUCAGAGGCGAUGAAGGACGUGCUAAUCUGCGAAAAGCGUCGGUAAGGUGAUAUGAACCGUUAUAGCCGGCGAUGUCCGAAUGGGGAAACCCAGUGUGAUUCGUCACACUAUCGUUAACUGAAUACAUAGGUUAACGAGGCGAACCGGGGGAACUGAAACAUCUAAGUACCCCGAGGAAAAGAAAUCAACCGAGAUUCCCCCAGUAGCGGCGAGCGAACGGGGAGCAGCCCAGAGUCUGAAUCAGCUUGUGUGUUAGUGGAACGGUCUGGAAAGUCCGACGGUACAGGGUGAUAGUCCCGUACACCAAAAUGCACAGGCUGUGAACUCGAAGAGUAGGGCGGGACACGUGGUAUCCUGUCUGAAUAUGGGGGGACCAUCCUCCAAGGCUAAAUACUCCUGACUGACCGAUAGUGAACCAGUACCGUGAGGGAAAGGCGAAAAGAACCCCGGCGAGGGGAGUGAAAAAGAACCUGAAACCGUGUACGUACAAGCAGUGGGAGCACCUUCGGGUGUGACUGCGUACCUUUUGUAUAAUGGGUCAGCGACUUAUAUUCUGUAGCAAGGUUAACCGUAUAGGGGAGCCGCAGGGAAACCGAGUCUUAACUGGGCGUUAAGUUGCAGGGUAUAGACCCGAAACCCGGUGAUCUAGCCAUGGGCAGGUUGAAGGUUGGGUAACACUAACUGGAGGACCGAACCGACUAAUGUUGAAAAAUUAGCGGAUGACUUGUGGCUGGGGGUGAAAGGCCAAUCAAACCGGGAGAUAGCUGGUUCUCCCCGAAAGCUAUUUAGGUAGCGCCUCGUGAACUCAUCUUCGGGGGUAGAGCACUGUUUCGGCUAGGGGGUCAUCCCGACUUACCAACCCGAUGCAAACUACGAAUACCGAAGAAUGUUAUCACGGGAGACACACGGCGGGUGCUAACGUCCGUCGUGAAGAGGGAAACAACCCAGACCGCCAGCUAAGGUCCCAAAGUCAUGGUUAAGUGGGAAACGAUGUGGGAAGGCACAGACAGCCAGGAUGUUGGCUUAGAAGCAGCCAUCAUUUAAAGAAAGCGUAAUAGCUCACUGGUCGAGUCGGCCUGCGCGGAAGAUGUAACGGGGCUAAACCAUGCACCGAAGCUGCGGCAGCGACACUAUGUGUUGUUGGGUAGGGGAGCGUUCUGUAAGCCUGCGAAGGUGUGCUGUGAGGCAUGCUGGAGGUAUCAGAAGUGCGAAUGCUGACAUAAGUAACGAUAAAGCGGGUGAAAAGCCCGCUCGCCGGAAGACCAAGGGUUCCUGUCCAACGUUAAUCGGGGCAGGGUGAGUCGACCCCUAAGGCGAGGCCGAAAGGCGUAGUCGAUGGGAAACAGGUUAAUAUUCCUGUACUUGGUGUUACUGCGAAGGGGGGACGGAGAAGGCUAUGUUAGCCGGGCGACGGUUGUCCCGGUUUAAGCAUGUAGGCUGAUUAUCCAGGCAAAUCCGGAUAAUCAAGGCUGAGGUGUGAUGACGAGGCACUACGGUGCUGAAGUAACAAAUGCCCUGCUUCCAGGAAAAGCCUCUAAGCAUCAGGUAACAUCAAAUCGUACCCCAAACCGACACAGGUGGUCAGGUAGAGAAUACCAAGGCGCUUGAGAGAACUCGGGUGAAGGAACUAGGCAAAAUGGUGCCGUAACUUCGGGAGAAGGCACGCUGGUGUGUAGGUGAAGUCCCUGCGGAUGGAGCUGAGACCAGUCGAAGAUACCAGCUGGCUGCAACUGUUUAUUAAAAACACAGCACUGUGCAAACACGAAAGUGGACGUAUACGGUGUGACGCCUGCCCGGUGCCGGAAGGUUAAUUGAUGGGGUUAUCCGUAAGGAGAAGCUCUUGAUCGAAGCCCCGGUAAACGGCGGCCGUAACUAUAACGGUCCUAAGGUAGCGAAAUUCCUUGUCGGGUAAGUUCCGACCUGCACGAAUGGCGUAAUGAUGGCCAGGCUGUCUCCACCCGAGACUCAGUGAAAUUGAACUCGCUGUGAAGAUGCAGUGUACCCGCGGCAAGACGGAAAGACCCCGUGAACCUUUACUAUAGCUUGACACUGAACAUUGAGCCUUGAUGUGUAGGAUAGGUGGGAGGCUUUGAAGCGUGGACGCCAGUCUGCGUGGAGCCAACCUUGAAAUACCACCCUUUAAUGUUUGAUGUUCUAACGUUGGCCCCUGACCGGGGUUGCGGACAGUGUCUGGUGGGUAGUUUGACUGGGGCGGUCUCCUCCCAAAGCGUAACGGAGGAGCACGAAGGUUAGCUAAUCCUGGUCGGACAUCAGGAGGUUAGUGCAAUGGCAUAAGCUAGCUUGACUGCGAGCGUGACGGCGCGAGCAGGUGCGAAAGCAGGUCAUAGUGAUCCGGUGGUUCUGAAUGGAAGGGCCAUCGCUCAACGGAUAAAAGGUACUCCGGGGAUAACAGGCUGAUACCGCCCAAGAGUUCAUAUCGACGGCGGUGUUUGGCACCUCGAUGUCGGCUCAUCACAUCCUGGGGCUGAAGUAGGUCCCAAGGGUAUGGCUGUUCGCCAUUUAAAGUGGUACGCGAGCUGGGUUUAGAACGUCGUGAGACAGUUCGGUCCCUAUCUGCCGUGGGCGCUGGAGAAUUGAGGGGGGCUGCUCCUAGUACGAGAGGACCGGAGUGGACGCAUCACUGGUGUUCGGGUUGUCAUGCCAAUGGCACUGCCCGGUAGCUAAAUGCGGAAGAGAUAAGUGCUGAAAGCAUCUAAGCACGAAACUUGCCCCGAGAUGAGUUCUCCCUGAGACUUUAAGUCUCCUGAAGGAACGUUAAAGACGAUGACGUUGAUAGGCCGGGUGUGUAAGCGCAGCGAUGCGUUGAGCUAACCGGUACUAAUGAACCGUGAGGCUUAACCUUACAACGCCGAAG